rnacentral:rRNA from 1 species
GACGAACGCUGGCGGCGUGCUUAACACAUGCAAGUCGAACGGAAAGGCCCUGCUUUUGUGGGGUGCUCGAGUGGCGAACGGGUGAGUAACACGUGAGUAACCUGCCCUUGACUUUGGGAUAACUUCAGGAAACUGGGGCUAAUACCGGAUAGGAGCUCCUGCUGCAUGGUGGGGGUUGGAAAGUUUCGGCGGUUGGGGAUGGACUCGCGGCUUAUCAGCUUGUUGGUGGGGUAGUGGCUUACCAAGGCUUUGACGGGUAGCCGGCCUGAGAGGGUGACCGGCCACAUUGGGACUGAGAUACGGCCCAGACUCCUACGGGAGGCAGCAGUGGGGAAUAUUGCACAAUGGGCGGAAGCCUGAUGUAGCAACGCCGCGUGCGGGAUGACGGCCUUCGGGUUGUAAACCGCUUUCGCCAGUGACGAAGCGUGAGUGACGGUAAUGGGUAAAGAAGCACCGGCUAACUACGUG